rnacentral:snRNA from 1 species
UACACGUGUCAGAGUCGUACAU